UGACCUCAAAUCAGGUAGGACUACCCGCUGAACUUAAGCAUAUCAAUAAGCGGAGGAAAAGAAACUAACAAGGAUUCCCCUAGUAACUGCGAGUGAAGCGGGAAAAGCUCAAAUUUAAAAUCUGGCAGUCUUUGGCUGUCCGAGUUGUAAUCUAGAGAAGCAUUAUCCGCGCUGGACCGUGUACAAGUCUCCUGGAAUGGAGCGUCAUAGAGGGUGAGAAUCCCGUCUUUGACACGGACUGCCAGGGCUUUGUGAUGUGCUCUCAAAGAGUCGAGUUGUUUGGGAAUGCAGCUCAAAAUGGGUGGUAAAUUCCAUCUAAAGCUAAAUAUUGGCGAGAGACCGAUAGCGAACAAGUACCGUGAGGGAAAGAUGAAAAGAACUUUGGAAAGAGAGUUAAACAGUACGUGAAAUUGCUGAAAGGGAAACGCUUGAAGUCAGUCGCGUUGUCCAGGGAUCAAUCUUGCUUUUGCUUGGUGUACUUUCUGGUUAACGGGUCAGCAUCAAUUUUGACUAUUGGAAAAAGAUCAAGGGAAUGUGGCAUCUUCGGAUGUGUUAUAGCCCUUGGUUGCAUACAAUAGUUAGGAUUGAGGAACUCAGCACGCCGCAAGGCCGAGUUUUUAACUACGUACGUGCUUAGGA
rnacentral:rRNA from 2 species